rnacentral:rRNA from 1 species
GAUGAACGCUAGCGGCAGGCCUAAUACAUGCAAGUCGAACGGUGUCUUCGGACAUAGUGGCGCACGGGUGCGUAACACGUAUGCAACCUACCUUACAUUGGGGGAUAGCCUUUCGAAGGGGAGAUUAAUACCGCAUAAGACAGUAGCUGGGCAUCCAGCAGCUGUUAAAGAUUUAUCGAUGUAAGCUGGGCAUGCGUCCAAUUAGCUAGUUGGUGAGGUAACGGCUCACCAAGGCAAUGAUUGGUAGGGGAACUGAGAGGUCAAUCCCCCACACUGACACUGAGAUACGGGCCGGACUCCUACGGGAGGCAGCAGUAGGGAAUAUUGGGCAAUGGACGCAAGUCUGACCCAGCCAUGCCGCGUGCAGGAUGAAGGCGUUAUGCGUUGUAAACUGCUUUUAUACAGGAAGAAACGACUCUUGCGAGAGGCAUUGACGGUACUGUAUGAAUAAGCACCGGCUAACUCCGUGCCAGCAGCCGCAGUAAUAC